rnacentral:rRNA from 1 species
CCUACGGGUGGCAGCAGUGAGGAAUAUUGGUCAAUGGACGAGAGUCUGAACCAGCCAAGUAGCGUGAAGGAUGACUGCCCUAUGGGUUGUAAACUUCUUUUAUAUGGGAAUAAAAUGUUCCACGUGUGGGAGUUUGUAUGUACCAUAUGAAGAAGGAUCGGCUAACUCCGUGCCAGCAGCCGCGGUCAUACGGAGGAUACGAGCGUUAUCCGGAUUUAUUGGGUUUAAAGGGAGCGUAGGUGGUUUGUUAAGGCAGUUGUUAAAGGUUGCGGCUCAACCGUAAAAUUGCAGUUGAAACUGGCAGUCUCGAGUACAGGAGAGGUGGGCGGAAUGCGCGGUGUAGCGGUGAAAUGCUUAGAUAUCACGAAGAACUCCGAUUGCGAAGGCAGCUCACUGGACUGCAACUGACACUGAGGCUCGAAAGUGUGGGUAUCAAACAGGAUUAGAUACCCUGGUAGUC